CUGGUGCAGGACCAGCCUGUGAGUGCCGGGUGCGAGGGGCAGAGAACAGGAGCGGUGUGGUAACUGUUACCCCCACCGGCAACGCAGCAGCCAGUGCAGGCGAGCUGCUUGCGACCAGCAUGCACUGGUGGCGUUCGGGCCUCGAGGGAUCCUCUGUGGUGUGUUUGAGAACCUUCAGUGGCCGCGGGUUUGGGGACACGUCCUGUCUAGGGACAACAAGUGUUGCUAGGGGCAACACUUGCAGCAAAUUGAGGGUCUCAGCCCAGCCACACUCAGGCCUGGGGUGGGUGGUAAGAGUUUCCCGCUAGCUGAGUCUCUCCAGUGUUUAGAAUUUUUAAAAGCCAUGGGUUUUUUCCCCUGUCUUUGCUGAAUGCUGCUUUCUGAGCAGUUUGAAGAUGACCUAAAACAUUGGGUGGUGUCAGUGUUGUGUGCCUGUGUUUUCCAUGGAAGAAGGGCUAGGGCUGUGCUAAGUGAGGAAGUGUAGGUUGCAUAUAGAAGAUGGUGAGCUGGAGAGGUGGCACAGGACUAUCUGGCUUCCAUGAUGUCUGCGUGGAUGAGAAGAGUAUUUCUGAUGAAAUGUAUAGUGCUGUCAAGCACAGUGUUGGGUGGUCACUUUGGAGUCUGAAAUCUUUGCUUUCCUUCUGUCUGUGUUGAAUGAGAGGAUGUUUAAGUCAGUGGGGACUGUAUAUUUCUCCUUUCUGUUUGACCUGUGUAUAGUUUUAUGCUGAGUAAGACAGACUUCCAGCAUUGCAGUGUCUGUGCUGCAGUCACCAUGAGGAGUGCCAUCUGACAUAAGCUGACAUUAACUGGAUGCCUGAGCAAGCCUACUAUCUGUGAGGACUGCUGUGGCAUCUUAGUGAUGAAACAGAGCCUGAGAUCAUGGCUGAAGCAGCACAGUGGGUCAGUUGUAAUUGUGGGAGCAAUUAUGGGCCUUGGAUUUGGGAUAGUUCUGAAAGGGCUUUGCAGUUUCUUGCUCUCUUGGUAACAACUGUUCUGGCCUUUUGCAGGUGCUGAAGCAUAGUUUGGCAAUUGAAGCAGCAUCACAGGUCUGUAGGAUCAGCAGCCAGAUGCAAAGAACAAGCUCUGACUCACAGCGUGCACACAGCUAAGUACCACUUCCCUUAAAGAGAAGCUCGUUGGUGGUUACAGAUGUCACUGGCUCUGAAUAUUUGCCCACAGAGAUGAGACGACCAUAAAUAUUAAUUGUCUUAGUAAUAGUACUGCAGAUUUAGUGCUGGCUGUGUCGCAGGUAAGUUUAAUGGAAGUGCAGCUUAGUACAGUGGAUCAGUCUACAAAUUGAGUCUCACAUAUGGUCACAUGAAUGGUGGCUGAAAUCAAGCCUGUAAACAGCAAUUGCAGAGUGUUUCUGGUGUGUGUUCCAUCCUGCUGCCCUUGAAAACUUGUAAAUGAAAACUUGUAAAGCUACAGGCAAAAAUUCUCAUCUUCUUUUUACUUCUCUCUUUACUAUUUUCUUGCUCUCGUAUUCUUUUGCAUUUCUUGCUCAAAACUGAGUGUUUUGAGUUCUUCACUUACAGUUUAUUGUUUAGAGUUUGUGGUUUGCAGUGGUUUCUUACUUAGGAGUUAUGGUUUAUUACUUUAUUUUGUGAGGCUCUGUAUUUAUUAUGAUUUACGCUUUACUUAUUUAUAGAUUGGGGCACCAGAUGUAAAAAUGUAAUCUCAUCCAUAAAAUCUAAAUCCCCAAUGACCCAAUGACAAGGGUGCUGAGAUUUGUAGUUUAUCAUAUUAGGGCUUACUGUGCAAAAUGGAAAAGUUGAAGUCCUUGGAUAAUAAACUGUAAGCCCUGAAGCUUAAACAGUAGGCUCUGUGAUUCCACUAAGAAAGGCACUAAGACUCUGUAAAUUAUUGAUAAAAAUUCCAUUUAUUGAAUCUAACAUCAGCAGGAAAAAGAGCAUAGUGUAAUCUUACAUACCUUCAGAUGCUAGGAACGGUAUUCUGCAGAAUUGGAGAGAUCCCUAACUGAGGUACAGCCCCACAGUGCAGCUUCUGUGUUCUGUUGACAUCUUGGUCUUUGUAGCUCUUGUGGGAUUUUCUUGUAAGAAAAUAAUUCUAUUCACCCUUUUACUGUCAAAUGAGAGUGUUCACUUGAGAACCUGCUGCUGUGCUUUCAGAUCUGAGAUCUUGGUUUGACCCUGUGCAGGCAUGACACACUGCCACUGCUGGUGGAUGAGUUGAGAGCUGUCAAGCUUCUUGCAGGGCUGUACUCUAGGUGUAGGGCAGAAGCACAGACAGGUGAAUUUAGGCUUUUUCCUUGAAUAACAAAGCUGAGUCCUGUCCUUGAAGGAAAAAGCAGACUGACAGUUAUACCUCUUGAUGAACUUCGGGAAGUUCAUGUCAGCCCGUUUUUCUGGCUUGUUAAGGUCUCUCUGGACAGCAGCAUGAUACUUUGGCUUAUCAGCCACUCCAGCCAGUUUUGUGACAUUGCAGACUUGCUGAGGGUACUCUGUCGCAUCCUCACUGGUUUGUGGUGUGCUUCAGAGACCUGUGUUUUUCUUUCCAUGUCGCCCAGGGCUCUCUGUUUGCCUCAGACCGCAGGGUGUUUGCGCUCCCCAUCCCCGGGCCGCGGGGUGCGUUCUCUGCUGCCGCCCGGCGACCACAGCGUGGUGCUGCAGGAGGGGUGGCACGGAUUCACCCCCCCCCAUCGGACUCGGUGCUGCCGUCAGGGGAGCCAAACGCGUGCGUGACCUUCACCUUCCUGCUGACCUUUGACCACGGGUGGCAUUUGGCUGUUUUGGGCCACUUUCGACAUUUCCAGUGACCUUUGACCCCUUUGUGACAUCAACCUAUUUGGUGACCUCUGACCUUUCAAAUUACCUUUGACCUUUCAAAUGACCUUUGACAUCUGAACUACCUUUUCCUGUGACCUCUGAUGUUUUUGUGACUUUUGAUCUCUGGAUAAUGACCUUCCAGGUGUGACUGUUGACCUUCCAAUCCCCACAUUUGAACUUUAAUCUUUUGAGCUUGA